AAACGUAGCGUAAUCUUCUGCUUCAACCUUAGGUGGCUGGCCCCGAACAUGGCAAUGUAUCAUUCAUGCACGCUGAGCAAAGAACACAUCGUUUUGCUUCUAAGAGAACAGGCCGCCGCAGUUCAAAGGAACGCGUAGCGAGCGCUCUACUUUUUCACUCGGAGUGGCUCCACCGCGCGCGCGCGCGCUCAAGAUCGCGGAACAACACAGCCCUGGAGAAAGGUGACCCGUCCAGCGAGCAAAGGCCAGCCGAGGGAGAUCGUGUGUCGGCCAUCUCGCGUCGCCACGAAAACACGACAGUCGUUCGUCAUGCCUUGGAUAUAACAACAAAUCCUCCACGGCACCCGCUUUAUAUAACGCAAGAAGGCAGCUGCAAGGACACGAGGAUGUGAAAGAGCCAGUGCAGCGCGACUUCACGUAGUGCAGAGGAGCCAAUGCCAAAAAAUCAAAAUACAUUGGCAUGUUAUUUGGACAAGAAAACUAGGACAACCCAGGACGUGCAUUUCUCAGCACCCAGUCAACUGCCAAAAGUGACUCAAACACAGGCCACCAGUGGAACUCGGCUGUACCACUGCAGUGCUGCGGAAAUUGCCUUCACCAGCGGCUUUGCAACAGCUGUUUCGCAGCAUGUCGGAGACAAUGCCUACGAAAUUAUUGGCCCUGAUCAUGAGAGCCCUCAAGGGGCAAACAACAUCUCUGUUGCAGAAGUGAGCCCGAUACCACUUGGAAGUUACCAUGACAGAUGACACGGCAGCAAUAGAUACAGAGACUGCCAUGUCUACUGCAGCUGCAACAGUGUACGAGGCCAGCAGCAGCGCGUCAGCAUCAGCAGCAGUGUCAGAAGGAACCACACCAGGCCUGGUAGAGCAACAUGUGUGCUAUCACUGACUUUUUUGUAGUGGAUAGAACUCAUUUGCUCAACAUACAAAAGCUUUUCACCACGACAGUGAGCCAGUGUUAUUGUGCAGCAAGUGCAAGACUAAGUUAGGUGUUAUAACACAGUACAAGCAUCACUUUAAUAUAUGCAAAUGCAAACAUAUUACAGUUGUUGCCUCCCCAGCCAGCCCACAUAGUGACAACAAUGUUGAACACAUGGUGGGACACACCUCUCCCCCAUUACAAGAUAGUAGAGACUGUCAGUGUUGUUGCUAGAUUGACUGGUCUUUGUAGGCAACUAGAAGGACAACACAGGUGUCAUAAGAUCGUUGUUGAUGUUGUUGUUGAAGAGGUAAAAAAGAAGUUUGAUGCAGCUGAAGUGCCAACUGAUAUUGAGCAAAUCAGAAGCAACCACCUGAGAAAGCAACACUAUCGAAAUUUGGGUAUCUAUGUGCCGCCAACUCUGGUAAGAAUGGCAUAGGACAGAAGUGUGAUGAAAAUCACACAGACACUGCUGUUGCAUCACUGGCCACAGUGAGCAGCGACUUGUAGGGCAAGAGAGUCAACUGAAACUAACAUUAUGAUAUAGUGUCAUGCUCCCAUGUGACCACUUUUCAAGUUAUUUUGCAAGAUACAGCUCAACCUCCAGAAACGAGACUGCAACUUGUCUGUAAAAAAGCUUUCACAAAAAAUUAUUCAUAACACUAUUAACAUAGCAGUAUCUUUUUUUUUUUUGUGUCGGUUCGAGGUUCCCGGCUGUCCAUUAAUGCUAAAAUUGAGGAAAAAAAGAACAUGUGUCGUACUUACACCUUUUUAACAAGUACGAGGGGGACAGAACUUUUCUAGUCAUGCAUCUUCAUCAUACUAUCAAGUUUUUAAAUGCCUUUUAUAAUUAUUAUUACCACUUAUAUCUGAGUGCAUUUUUUGCAUGUAGCAGGUGUAAAAUCAGGUCAGUUGGAUCAGAUGCCUUAUCUGCAAGCGAGCCCUAUAUUCAAGAAAUUUGAAUUAAAAUAGUUACGUUAGAGACGCAGUCUUUCAGCACUUUAUUGCCUGUGGUUUAAGCAUUGCUCAAUACUUUUGUGGGUGGCGAUUUCAACCGGCACAGCACUGCGCUUUGCCACAGUCACAUUUGUCUUCAAAGCGGUGUUUACCAUUUGUGUUGAUCUGUUUGUGUAUGCAUAGAGCAAGUUUUUAAUUUAUAUUUUUCUGCAUUCUUGUGCUUGCACCAAGCUUGUAUAAGGCAGUUACAAAAUGUGGGUCACUAUAACGAACUGUUCUGUUGAGCUUACACUUGCAAAUAAUCGUGUUCAGAUGGCCGCACUUCUAUGCGGGUGCACCGCUAGCUUUGUGUAUGUUCUCAUGUUUGUAUAAAGCUUAUAUAAGCUAGUUAGAAAAUGUAUGUCACUAAGCAUUGUGAUAUUCUUUAAAGAACUGCUUGGUUGGUUUUACACUUGUGAAUAAGUAUUGAGGCGGUGGUAUUCCCAUGUAUGCCCACUGCUAGCUUUCUGUGUCCUCAGGUGUUUGUAUUAAGUUUCUACAAGGGAGUUACAGCAUGUACGUCACUAAGCGCUGUGAUAUUUUUUAAAGAACUGCUUUGUUGGUUUUACGCCUGUGAGUAAUAGUACUCGGGUGGCACUAGUCAUGUGUAGGUACACAGGGACCAUUUGUAUACAUUAUGCUCAUGUAAAGCAGUUACAAAGUGUAUGUCACUAAUUACUGUGAUAUUUGUUGAAUUGCUGUGAUGGUUUUACACAUGUGAAUAAUAGUGGUCAGGACACAGUACUUGCGGUGUAUAGUUGAAUUUAUACACUGCCAAGACAUGGGCUGUAUACGUACCAAAGAAAUGUAUGUCAUUAUAUUGUUGUGAUUAUUACUGUUUGGAUUUUAUUAAACUGUAAUAAAAUUGUUUCUUGUA